GUUAAUCAACAGCACUGAAGGAAAUAAAAAAAAUGAGAAUUCUCCCUCUACAAUGCUUCAGCAUGUGCUCAGGGUACUGCUCUGCAUGCAGCACAGCUCUGGGCUAUUUAGCAAAGGUAUUUCUUUUCCAAUUUAAAUAACUUUGGAACAGAAUUAAUGCUCUCUUUACAUCUCCAGAGCUGACUUUUGGGAGAGGGAAGAGAGAGAGAGAGAGAUGUUCCACCUCUUCCCUGGUACUCCCUGGAAGUCAAUGAGACCUGAGACUUCAUCUGCAUGGAAGCGAUGGAAUAGAGGUCAGCUCUUCUACCCUGGAUUGCACGGCAAUGAAGUUCAUGUUACAGCCAAAUUCCAGGUGCACAGAAACUCUAUUGUCUCCAGGAGACGUUGUCCAUUCCAUCUCCUUGAAAGCCAAAAGACUACAUCUGAAAGUAUUUCAUCUUCAAAAGAAUCUGCCUCCCACAAGAAUACGUCUGUUUGGCUGCUAUGAAAAGAUGCUGCACCAACAAAGGCUUCCUCUGUGCAUGAUCUCCAUGGUGUGUGAUCUUUACAUGGAAAUGCUGCUCCUUGUGCUGCUCACGGGUCCUUUCCAAGUCCUGUGGAGCACAAAGGCUGGAGGUGGCUGCUGCAGUGAACAGGAGCGUAGGAAACCUGAUUUUCUCUGAGCCAAUGCAGACAGGCUUGUCCUUCUGCCUGGAUUCCCUUACAGCAUCACUUGCUUGAAACCUUUAAUGCUUUGCCCUCCCUCCCUUGCCAGCCAGCUACCCAUGUGCAGCUGUUGUGUUCAUCACAGGCACAGGCUCUGCAUCUUCUCUUGGCUCAGAGGAUGGCUUGGGAGGAGGCAGGGAGCACAGUGGGGCUGAGCACAGAGCCAGCUCCUGGCUACCACCUCCUGCAGGGAUUGGAGUUGUCCCAUAUGGCUGAGAACUGAUCUCCAUCACUGCAGGCACCGUGCUCACCUGGCCCACAGGCAGCAGUCCCAAAGCUGGCACACUGCUGCUGGUGGGGCUCCAACAUCUCACACGCUGCAUUUUUUCCCUUGGCACAUAUACGUAUCUGUAACAUGGCAUAUGUUUCUUUUUUCACCUGAUAACAAGAGGCAUCAGAAGUUGUAUAUGGAUUUAUUGCCUACAGAACGUGGCUGCAAGAUCCCACUGAAUCUGCUAAGUCCAUAGCUCCAGCCCCCUCAUGGGGUGCAAAUGAAGAAGGCUGUGGAUUCACAGUGUCCCCCAUCUCCAGCCACAGAAAGAGUUAAUGCAAUAAUCUGUGUCACAUCUGGAAGGCAGCACCACCUCUGCCAGAGCCUUCACCCACAAAAAAAAAAAAGUGCAGAAAAGUAAAGAAAACUUAGGGUUGAAAGAGAAACAGAACAAGGAGAUGGAAAGAUUGGAGCCUGGCAGCAGGAGCAGCGAAUUCAUGUGCAGUCACGGGCUGCAUAGUGCCUUCAUCUUGCAGAAGAGAUCUGGG
ensembl:lncRNA